rnacentral:rRNA from 1 species
CACGUAGGGUGCGAGCGUUUGUCCGGAAUUAUUGGGCGUAAAGAGCUCGUAGGCGGUGUGUCACGUCGGCCGUGAAAACCUGCAGCUUAACUGUGGGCGUGCGGUCGAUACGGGCAUCACUGGAGUUCGGCAGGGGAGACUGGAAUUCCUGGUGUAGCGGUGAAAUGCGCAGAUAUCAGGAGGAACACCGGUGGCGAAGGCGGGUCUCUGGGCCGAUACUGACGCUGAUGCGCGAAAGCCAGGGGAGCAAACGGG